rnacentral:lncRNA from 1 species
ACUAAACAUAAAAUGCAACCUAGUCUAAGAAUUUAAAUGCAAAGGCAAAAGAAGAAUCUAGGUUGCCUCCUAGUAGCGCUUGUUUAACAUCGCGAGCCUGACCCAAACCUGUUUAGCACUUGUCAGUAAGUGCAAAUCUUUCCAACACCCAUCAGUAGGUGUACCUUCCUAUGUUCUUCAGUAGUUCCACACAAUUUGGCAUCCCCCAGUAGAUGCCACCAGAAAAUUGUUCCAAAAAUUCAAAAAUUACAUGUUCAACAAAACAUAAAAAAGAUAAAAAGAAUUGUUCAAAAAUACAAAAAUUGCUUGCCAGCAAAUCAACUCUUCUUCUUCAUGCCAGGAUUUUCAUCGUCCCACUUGCUCAACUUUCUUCUCUCCACUUUUCGGAUUGCUAUGGAGUAAGGUCUUCUGAUCUCUACCAUUCCCUCCUCCUUAAGCUUCCUAUUCACAAUCCAUUUCCUGUUUUUAAAUCUCACUGACAUGCCACGCAGGAAUGGUGUGUCUUCUGAGUGGAUUGAUUCCUCUAUGCUUGCUUUCUUUUCCUCGAGAAUCUGUAGAACAUGGCAGUUGUUCCGACCUUCAAUACCUGUGGUGUUUUCCUCUUUUGCAGCUUCUCUUCUGGCCCUUUUGUNUUUGNCUCUUCUCAUUGCUCUNAUUUUGGUUUCCUCANAGCCAUAAAUUAACAAUACUUGGUCAUGAUCUCUUAG